rnacentral:rRNA from 1 species
UGCGUAGGCGGACUAAUAAGUCAGUGGUGAAAUCUUUCGGCUCAACCGAGAAACUGCCAUUGAUACUGUUAGUCUUGAGUUCGGUUGAGGUAGGCGGAAUGUGUAAUGUAGCGGUGAAAUGCUUAGAUAUUACACAGAACACCAAUUGCGUUGGCAGCUUACUAGACCGACACUGACGCUGAGGCACGAAAGCGUGGGGAGCGAACAGGAUUAGAUACCCUGGUAGUCC